AUGUUGUUACAGGGUGGUUAACUUCGCCAGCGGCCCCCUUUCCCGGGGCAGUCCCUGCUCUCCCCUGCUAGAGGGGCACCCUAAUCCGUCACCCCAUCCGACUUCAGAAUGUAUUCGUUGGGUUCGGCAACUCACCACCAGCAUCCAACCAAAUCUAGCGGAUCAACGGCGCAUCAACUUAGUUCAUGGUUAGCUCGCAAGUUGAUUUUAUCACGACCUACAUCGUCCAUAUGAUGGGGGGGCCACCUCCCAUUUCAACACUCCUCAAACACCCGAGGAACCGGCAGGCGGAUUUGAACCCGUGUCGGCCGGGAGCAGAAGUCAGGCCUUAACCUCUGCCAGCCGCGUGCCGUAUAAGAAUGUAUGUCGCCUCAGCCGCGUGCCCAAAGCUCUCCGGGAAACCUCAGCCGGAUAGCGCAGCUCUGCCGGCGGGUGCUUCACGCAGCUGUUUCUUGAGGGGACUCAUGACACCGCACACAGUUCGUGGCCUGGAUUCGGCGCCACGCAGGAUUAGUGAGAAGGAGCGGCGGGUCGAGGUAUCCACGAUAGAUUUCCGGUUAUGAGGCGGUUAGGGGCGAGAGGGGCCCACGGCUUACCGCCCACGUCAGGGUCUUAAUGCCUGGGAGAGGGGGGUUGCUUCGCUGCCUAGGACCCCGGGGGCCUUGUGGUCCAAACUGGCCGCCACGGUGGCCAUCCAGAUGGCGGCCAUUCUCUUCCGCGACCCUCGCUACCCUCCCUAAGCAUUGCUUAUCAGGCCAGUACGUUUUAUUUAUCCUGAUUGAAUUGUGUUCUUCUGGAUUCUGUCUUAAGAAGCCCGUAAGGGCCCGUACGAGUGAGCCGUACAGCACAGGGAAAGAGUGAGCCCUAAAUGACAGCGGGAGUUUAUCCUACACCCCUCUCCCCUCACACACGCACACACACACACAGUUUUAAAAGGAAAAGCUAAAGCCAAGCAUGGCGAACAAAGCGGACCAGCAGCUGUCUGUCAAAUCUGGUUCCCUGAGCUGAGCCGUGCCUAAGCCUCAAGCCUUAAAAGGGAAGACAAACCCCAAAAGACGCCUCAAGCAAGCAAUGGUUGUUACAAUCAGCUGAAGAAGUUGGACGACUGAAGGAGUAAAUAGCAGGGGGCAUGGCAUUUCCAUACAACACGAAGGCGCGCAAUUCGAUCAGUGCUUUCAGGGGUAAACCAUUACUGAUAUACAUGAUAACAUGAUACAGCGGGCAGUUGUCUGGUCAACAUAGCGAAUAGCCCCGUGAAGACAUAAGGGAAGUCCUGGCCGAAAUACAACAAAGCAGACUCGGUCGAUAGGCCGAACCGUGCCUCCUUUGCUUGCCUUGGGCAAAUGCAAUGACAUAUUAGCAUAGCCGCAUUCCCGCACUUCAUAGCAUAUGGAUGGACCUCAAUAGUCAACAGAAUGGAGCACGAGUGACGGAAUGUCCAGUCAACCACCUUACGGACACUGAUGAUAUGCUGUAUAUGUGUUAUGUAUGUAUGUCACAGAAGCAUGUUUGCUACAACCCGACCUGAUUGACCAGACCAUUGACCAGACCAUUGACCAGACCAUUGACCAGACCAUUGACCAGACCAUUGACCAGACCAUUGACCAGACCAUUGACCAGACCAUUGACCAGACCAUUGACCAGACCAUUGACCAGACCAUUGACCAGACCACUGACCAGACCAUUGACCAGACCCCAUAACUGAUCGGCCUAUCUCCCAAGCACUGCGAGGUGUCAAUCAGGUUCGCCAGAGGGGGGCUCAUUCCCUGUCCGAGUAGGGGACCUCAACCCCUCUCAGCACGGCAAACCCCGCCUUCAGCCGCCCAGCUGUAAAUCUCCCCAAGAGUAGUGUCCGGUGUCCGAUCCAUCCGUGGGCGAGCACCCACGCCCCGGGAUGGCUACUCUCACUCACCGCCUUCACUUUCUUUUUAAGGCCGCUUCAACGUAUUUCUUGUUACACGCACCAAGGUCUCAAAACAGGAAAAAAAACUCGUAUAAACACAGAGCAAAACUCCCUAAAUCUUCGAAUAUUGCAAAUGCAAAAGGUUCUCUUUUCGAAGGGUCGAAAGAGCGAAACACCCCUGCACCCGUACCCCUGCACCACUGCUGCAUGCUUGUACUUCAUCCCGCAUGCGGUGUACUACGCUGCUUGGCGCACCACUCCCUCACGUGCCGACUCACCUUCCGAUGCCACCCUACCCCGGUGUUGUGUCACGUCUUUUUCGGAAAAGAACCGAUCGGUGGUUCUCGGGAUCCCGUGAUAAUAAGAAGCCCUCCAGGAUACCAACCCCGGGGGGGUGUAUUCCCCCCCCCCGGGGGUAUGGGGGGGCUCCCCCGCUGCAACAACACCCACAGCAACCAGUGCCAUCACUGCACUUUCCUACGAAUAAGGCCCUUCAUCAUGUCCAAACUAUUACCGUCGGGUGUCAGUUCGUAACGGGCGCCACCACCACAACCACCACCACCAUCAGCACCAGCAACACCAGCACCGCCCUCGACAUCCUCAGCCAGCAGGAAGCCCGAGGGGGACAAGCCGCGGAUGAUCAGCCGUGUAACCGCACCGCCCCCGCCGGUGCCAGUGCUCCUGCCGGUGGUAGAAGGGGUGGUAGUGGUGGUGGUAGUGGUGGUGGUGGUGGUCGCGGAGGAAGAUGGACUUGUCGCGGGCGGCUCCGAGUUGUCAAAGUCCAACACCUACUCAGCGGUCAACAUCAAUAUUAGCCCCCGGGGUCAAACAGCACCCGACAGCACCCCAGACCGGGGGAGGAGCGCGCCGGGAGGGAGGUGUAGAACAGCAAGGCGAGAUGACACGGCGAGGGGGACAGAGGGGGACAGAAAACUCAGCGGAAAAGUGUAAAAAGUGCACAAAGCUGGCUGGAAAGCGGAGACGAGUCAACGGGCGCGGGGGAGAAGUGAGAAUCCAUUGAGGCUCUCAGGGAAAAGCCAAGCAGACAGGUGAUAUGAUGACGGCGAAGGGGCGUAAGCUGUGGUGAUUUCCAACCAUGCAUUCCUCGUCGCCCGUUUGCGGAGAAUAUCCCUCCCUCCCUCCCUUCCGCUCGCUCUCCCUCCCGGCUUCGGCUUCCGUGUCCGUGUGUAUCGUCCAGGGUUUGCCGUAAUCUUCACACCCCUCCGGGCCCCCGGGGCUACACUCCCUGGCGCCCCCUUCGACAUACCCAACGUAACCCCACAUACAUACAUACGUACAUACAUACAUACAUACAUACAUACAUACAUACAUACACACACCUGGCCAGUGUGCAGCCAGUUGGUCAGGUACUCGGCCUCCAGGGGGGCGAACCCGUGCUCCUCGAAGAUCUGACGAUGAUGGAGUGCAGGCCGCGGGGAAAUGGGCUCAUGAAGUACGGUGUUAUAAGAAAUGUAGUAGAGAAGGAAAAGAGGAUAUCAAGGAGAGAGACAAGUAAUAAUAACAUAUCAGGACUAGAACGCGAUGGGCAACCCAUAUCACAUUUGUACACGUAACGUACUACAAUUGUACAACAUGUAAGUGAAAGACAUUGUGGGUGCACCUGCCUCCGCCCCCAAUGUCGCUCCGCGUUCCUGCGACUGGCUGAUCAUCCCUGGCGCCAACCCCUUCCUGUUGCUGCCGCCAACCCCCUACCCCUACCCCCCUACCCCUGCCCCUACUCCCCUCCCCUACCCCUACCCUCACCCCCCUACCGCUACUGCUACCCCACCCCCCUGUCUCUGUCCAAACCCUCCCUCCCCUUCCCUCCCUCUCCUUCCUUCCCUCUCCUUCCUUCCCUCUCCUUGCUUUGUACGUCGCAACACUUGUAUUGUCGACUGUGCAUAUGACUACCGCCUCGCGCCGCUGCCCCUGCUGCCGCCGCUGCUGCCGCCGCUGCUGCCGCUGCUGCUGCUGCUGCUCCCUUCCCCCACCUCCCCCGUUCUUGUUCCCUUCUCAUGCCCCUCCCAUUGCCCCACUCCUGCCGCUAUCGCUUACGUCGUACACUUCCUCCAGAGCGGCAAGUAUACCCGUCAGCACCGCCUCUCGUGAGACAGACGGACGUACAGACAGCUCCGAUGCAGCGGCCCCCGCGGCCCCACCUUGUUCUCCCGCCGACCGCUCUGCCGCUGCCCGCUCCAGAAGCUCGUCCAAGCAGGUGGUUGGAGUUCGGUUAUUGACGUUGAGGCCAAUGCCCGUAAUGACGUUGAAGCUGGAAGGACGGUGGGCCGAUGACGGGCGGGGCCGGCGAAGGAACGUCGUACAUAGGGUCGUACGUACGUAGGGGUCCGUGAGGGGAGUUGGACAGUGAGACACGGGGGGCAGUGGUGGUGGUGGUGGUGGUAAGUCGAACCACCGGGGGUGGGGGAACGUGAACGCGGGUGUCCAAGAGAGCCCCCCGGGGCAUUGCGGGGAAGGGAGAGCGAGGUGCGAGGAGUACCCUACCUGUCCGUGUGUCUGAGUGUCUUACAACGGGUCGAGGGAGAGGCGAGGAAUACUACCCCUACCCACCCCCAUGCACCCACGAAUCCGGCCCUCCAGCCCACACCGCUACCCAGCAACUAACCACUAACCAUCCCUGCCCUUCACCCACCUCCUCCACCCCCAUCCACUCCUCCUCCUCAUUAUCAUCCUGCCCUUCGAAAAGAUCCCUCCCUUGCAAUUCCAAGACUCCCUUUUUUCGGUGUUUUUCCAUGUCUCCCCCUUCCCAUCCGCUCCCCCUCGUCCACCGGCCUCUCCCCCCCCCCAACCCACCAUCCGCCCUGCCAUGUGGUGUGUAUGAGCGCCCCCGCCACCUUCAGAUCCCCCGAGUAGAUGUCGUUAGGCCACUUGAUGCGGAGCAGGCCAGGGAGGGGAACCAGACCGGCGUCCUGAACAUUGGGACCGGGUGGUGAUGGUGGGGGUGGGGGUGGGGGUGAGGAGGAGGAGAAAGAACCCGCGUGUGUACGACCCCGAGGUAGUCAUCAGGGCAUCACGUGCAUUGGUGUGGUGUGGUGUGGUGUGGCGGCAUGCAAGUGCGCCUGCGGGUUUGUUAUUCACAAAUGGGUGUGUGUGUUUUGGGGGGGGGGGUACGUGUCUGAGGCCGCAGGUCUAUUAGUUGUACGUUAAAAAGCAACGUAGUUUCCCUUUCGGGAAUCUCACAGCAUGCGCUGUGAGAUUUGUUAAGCUAGCAGCUUGGGGUUGUUCAGAGCUCUUGGCUUAUGGUUAUACCAAAAUUAAAAUUAAACCAUAAUAUGUACUGUACGGACUUUAUUCAAUAAAGUCAAUCACUUAGCAGGUAGCUACUAACGUAGACUGUUCGCCUGGUGGUGGUGGAUGGUGGUGGUGGUGCGUGGCAUACGCGGCUGAGCGUUUCUCACGCUCCUCCACCAGCNNNNNNNNNNNNNNNNNNNNNNNNNNNNNNNNNNNNNNNNNNNNNNNNNNNNNNNNNNNNNNNNNNNNNNNNNNNNNNNNNNNNNNNNNNNNNNNNNNNNNNNNNNNNNNNNNNNNNNNNNNNNNNNNNNNNNNNNNNNNNNNNNNNNNNNNNNNNNNNNNNNNNNNNNNNNNNNNNNNNNNNNNNNNNNNNNNNNNNNNNNNNNNNNNNNNNNNNNNNNNNNNNNNNNNNNNNNNNNNNNNNNNNNNNNNNNNNNNNNNNNNNNNNNNNNNNNNNNNNNNNNNNNNNNNNNNNNNNNNNNNNNNNNNNNNNNNNNNNNNNNNNNNNNNNNNNNNNNNNNGACACACAAGGUAGUUGAUGAAGGGCGCCUGGGCGGGGGAGGACACCCGCAGCCGCCGCAGCGCGGAGAACAUCAGGCAGCCCAGGGGGGAGGUCCACUGGUUGCCUCCGCGACCUGGGAGGGGGGGCCCCGGGGGGUGAUGGGGACGGUGCUGGUGCUGCUGGUGAAGUUGUGUGUUGAGGACGGGGGAGGGGGGGGGAUUAGGUGUAGCGACAUACACUACAUGCACAGAAUUGGCUGCCGACAGGGGUGGUGGUGGUGGUGGUGGUAGUGGUGGCGUGGUGGUGUGGAAAAGUGGUGGUGUUGGGGUUUGAGGAGAAAAAAGGAAAACGAAAAUGCUGCACUUCUUUUUGCAAAAUGUCCAUGAAGGGCAGGGCAGAGCAGGGUAGGGCAGAGGCGCGUGUGUCUCUCUCUCUCUCUCUCUCUACUGGAAAACCCUAGUCUGGGGACCUGGCGUGAACACUGGAUCCUUUCCCUGCCCGUUUUGUCGCCUUCCGCAGACCCGUACAGACCCGCUUAAACCCCAACCCGCCGCUGCCGUACAUUUCGUUCCACUCCUCAUCCAUAUCGCAAAACCCUAAACCCCAAUGGCUCUUUCAUCUCCCCGUGACUCGGACCAACCCGAAUUUAGUUCCUUUAGAGACCUAGGUGGCGCCAUGUCCAGUCCGGCCUCUCCGGCUCAGCGCGCUCCGGAACCUUCCAUAGCUCCCUCCGAAACCAAUGGUUGCACCACUCGUACGUCUCCUCCGAAUCGGGGCCUCAGUACCGCACCCUUUACCUUUGCCACUCGUUUGUCGGUCCGCCACCGCCACGACACCGUCCCCCAGCAACGCCCCAUGGCUCCUCAGUAGCUCCUGUGUGGAGUCGAGAGUCGCAGCCGCCAGCAGCACGCGACCCAUGGUUCGCGUGCCGCCCUCCGUGACUGGCUGAGCCAGACGCCGGGAGCACUCGGCGGCGUCGAACGCGGGCAUCGCGCAUGACGGUACGGCAGAUGGAUUGAGGUGCAAGACGAGUGCAGGCCCGCCAGAACCACCGGGUUGAGCGUCUGCUGCAGCGAUCUGUGCGGCCGGAGUGAACCGUGGGUGGUCAUAGUCAGCUGGUUAGGUGGCUGCUUUGUAAAGGUCACGUGGCCACGUUGUGUGCAUGUGCAUUUUAAAGGCGGACUGGCUGUGGCUGGCGUCAUAUGGCGGUUGGGCGGGUGGGAAUCCUACAUGCAAGGUCAUUUCCAAAGCACCAACUGGAUGGUUGGGGAAGGGAAGGGGGCACUGCGGUGUUGCAACGUAGGCAACGCACUUGGCGGCAAUUUUUGGAUUUCAUGUCCCGCAAUACUGUCGUGUAUCGUGAACUACGCGGCGGUUGUGAUUCAGUUAUUCCCGUAUAGACACUGUACCUCUUUAGCGACCUGCUCUACUCGGGCCGCAUCGUCGGACGUUCGACAGAACGCAACGACGUGGUGCACGGCAUUAUUGGAAUCCGACAUGGUGGACGAGGCCAAUGCUCUUGCUCCUGUCCGUGUUGAGACGGAACCAAUUACAGCACGCGAGGUCGCAGGCCGUGCAAUGUGAGAAGGCGAUGAGCAGAUUGGGUCCGUGCCGCUUGUGGUAAAUAUCGAUGAUCGGCGUUGGUGCCUGGAGGCAGCCAACGGGGCCCAAAGCGUUUGCCCCCAGCGCUCGCGACAGCAGAGGUUAAACCGCAGCGGGCUCAAGACUAUUUUUUGCAUAUUGUUAUGAUAUAACACAUAUUAUACAGGUAUUCGCUGAGCAACUAUAUGUUGCUCCAGUUCCGUACGUUAAUUGGGACACAGGCAAGGAUAAUGGCGAAGGAAAUGAGUCUCACUAAUUGUUGUUGAAUAGCAAAUGGUUCCAGUGGAAAGCGGUGUUCAGCAUGUCUUGUCCAUCAGAGCCUCAGUUCAUAUUUCCGUACAAUUGGGCGGGAGACAAAGCAAAGGUUACACUACCGCUUGGAAAGGGUUGAACAAAGAAGACUAUGAAGCAUUAGGUUUCUUAUAGCUAGAAGUUAAGCCUUGUUCUAUUAGACCGUCUAAAAAUGCAAGCAACGAAGUAUGUUUUGGUUACGGGUGGAGUCGUCAGCGGCCUUGGCAAGGGCGUGACGGCGAGCAGCAUUGGAGUGCUGCUAAAGAAUUGCGGAUACCGUGUGACAUCAAUAAAAAUUGGUGCGGUCGCCACUACAUGGCGCGUCAAACUACCUGUCGCCGUCAGGAGUCCCUCCAUCAGAUCCCACGCCCCGUAGAUCCCUACCUAAACGUGGAUGCGGGUACUAUGUCCCCAUUUGAGCACGGAGAAGUGUUUGUACUGGACGACGGCGGCGAGGUGCGCCACACUGGCGGCUAGCACCAUCGUAUGAGGCCGCAAACUUAACUUAAUUGAAUUGGUUAUCUCCAGGCAGACUUGGACUUGGGCAAUUAUGAACGCUUCAUGGACAUCACUCUUACCAGGGACAGCAACAUUACGACGGGGAAGAUUUACCAGGUCGGCAGAAGCACCACGUCCUGUGCCUUUCAGAUAAAGCCAUAGGAUACUAUCACAUUUAACACGCAAAUAUAAUCAUGUGUGUUUUCGUGCCUACAGUGUUGGUUAGGUUAGUUAUCAUUUAGGGUUUUCACGAUUUACUGUCUGUCCCCUGCACCCGUCCCUUUUCGUUGUUAAGGCAGUGAUUGAGCGCGAGCGGCGAGGUGACUACCUCGGGAAAACAGUGCAGGUGCGAAAUGAUACGGGGGUUUUAAUUCUUGAAAGAGACCAUCUUGCUUCGUAGAUGUUGUUCAACAUGUAUCGUGCACCUGCCUCACGUUUGGCGAUGUACUCGCGGUACUGCAGGAAGGGAAAUGUAAGCCCAAGUGGUAGCCACGGCUACAUUUUGACCCUGGAACUUUAGCCUGCCUGUGUCUGAGAGCUCCUGAAGUUCGACGCUGUUUAGUGCCAGACCCCGCAUGCUCUUCGACUCAUCCACUUGCUAAAGCUGCAAACUACGUUUUUUCCUGAAAAGUACACUUCCUGUAAGCUACUGUACUAGUGUUUGUUUUUUCGUUUCCAUAAACGGCGCCUUCAUAGCACCUUCCAUCCUCGUAGCUUCCUUUGCCGUACGCAAGGAUCCACAUGUAUCUAUUCCCAACGUUUUCUGUAUGUAACCCACCGUGCCGUUCUCCACCUUUUUCCAUUUGGGUCCACUCCAUGCUGCCUCUGUUAACGCACGAUAACUCUUAGAACCCGCUUUCUUUAAGUUUAAGUUUCUUAUCCGUGCGCCCCUGGCCCCUGCGCUACACUUUGACGACGACGACAUCACGCAGGUGGUCCCGCAUAUCACUGACGCGAUCCAGGAUUGGAUCCAGCGGGUUGCCGUACAGCCCGUGGACGGCAAGGCCGGUGUACCGCACGUGUGCGUGAUUGAGUUGGGCGGCACCGUGGGCGACAUUGAGUCGGCCCCGUUCGUGGAGGCGCUUCGACAGUUUUGCAUCCGCGUUGGCGAACACAACAUUUGCAACGUGCACGUCUCCCUCGUGCCUGUCAUUGGUGGGUUGAGUCCCGCGUGUUUUUAGCUGUAUGUAUGUAUGUAUGUAUGUAUGUCCUUAACGUCCUUUUGUGUCUCUUUGUUGAUGUCGAUCACGGCGAUAUUAUAUGUAUUAAUAUACAAUCCUGGACAUCCCUUCUCCUUAGAAUGCGCAGACUAGCCGGUGGCUUGCUUACUUGCCUGCUUAGGUGUGUGUAUGUUGUUACAGGGUGGUUAACUUCGCCAGCGGCCCCCUUUCCCGGGGCAGUCCCUGCUCUCCCCUGCUAGAGGGGCACCCUAAUCCGUCACCCCAUCCGACUUCAGAAUGUAUUCGUUGGGUUCGGCAACUCACCACCAGCAUCCAACCAAAUCUAGCGGAUCAACGGCGCAUCAACUUAGUUCCUGGUCAGCUCGCAAGUUGAUAUAAUCACGUCCUACACCGUCCAUAUGAUGGGGGGCCACCUCCCAUUUCAUCACUCCUCAAACACCCGAGGAGCUGGCAGGCGGAUUUGAACCCGGGUCGACUGGAUCGACUGGGAGCAGAAGUCAGGCCUUAACUUCUGCCAGCCG
rnacentral:lncRNA from 1 species